GACGAACGCUGGCGGCGUGCCUAAUACAUGCAAGUCGAGCGGACUGAUGGGAGCUUGCUCCCUGAUGUUAGCGGCGGACGGGUGAGUAACACGUGGGCAACCUGCCCUAUAGUUGGGGAUAACUCCGGGAAACCGGGGCUAAUACCGAAUGAUACAAUUUAACUCCUGUUAGAUUGUUGAAAGAUGGUUCUGCUAUCGCUAUAGGAUGGGCCCGCGGCGCAUUAGCUAGUAGGUGAGGUAACGGCUCACCUAGGCGACGAUGCGUAGCCGACCUGAGAGGGUGAUCGGCCACACUGGGACUGAGACACGGCCCAGACUCCUACGGGAGGCAGCAGUAGGGAAUCUUCCACAAUGGACGAAAGUCUGAUGGAGCAACGCCGCGUGAGUGAAGAAGGUUUUCGGAUCGUAAAACUCUGUUGUAAGGGAAGAACAAGUACAGCAGUAACUGGCUGUACCUUGACGGUACCUUAUUAGAAAGCCACGGCUAACUACGUGCCAGCCGCCGCGGUAAUAC
rnacentral:rRNA from 1 species